UACACGAAGCUGGAAUCGCUAGUAAUCGCGAAUCAGAAUGUCGCGGUGAAUACGUUCCCGGGUCUUGUACACACCGCCCGUCACACCAUGGGAGUCGGGAAUGCCCGAAGUCAGUGACCCAACCUAUUGGAGGGAGCUGCCGAAGGCAGGUCUGAGUAACUGGGGUGAAGUCGUAACAAGGUAAC
rnacentral:rRNA from 1 species